AAACUCAGGUCCUCUUUGGUGACAUGGGUAAAGAAUUCGGCAAGCAUCGGCUCGUCUUCUGUCCGAACGGGCCUGACGUGAAUUUUAAGGCCGGUUCGGGUCAUC
rnacentral:sRNA from 1 species